UGAGGAAUAUUGCACAAUGGGCGCAAGCCUGAUGCAGCAACGCCGCGUGAGGGACGAAGGCCUUCGGGUCGUAAACCUCUUUUCUGGGGGACGAGUAAGGACGGUACCCCAGGAAUAAGUCUCGGCUAACUACGUGCCAGCAGCCGCGGCAAAACGUAGGAGGCGAGCGUUAUCCGGAUUUACUGGGCGUAAAGAGUACGCAGGUGGCUUCGUUAGUCGGACAUGAAAGCUCCUGGCUUAACUGGGAGAAGUUGUUCGAUACUGCGGGGCUUGAGGUUGGGAGAGGGACGUGGAAUUCCCGGUGUAGUGGUGGAAUGCGUAGAUAUCGGGAGGAACACCAGUGGCGCAAGCGGCGUCCUGGCCCACACCUGACGCUGAGGUACGAAAGCGUGGGUAGCAAACAG
rnacentral:rRNA from 1 species